rnacentral:lncRNA from 1 species
GUAAGCCAUGUGAGGUGAAACCAGGGCAGAGGCUGGGGGGUUCAGCAGCACAGAACUGGUGUCUUCUACGACUUCUGCCUCUGUACAUUGGUGAAAAGAUAAAACAUCCUGUAGAUAGUGAGGUUUGGCAGUUAUGCCUUAAACUUAGAGACAUUGUUGAUCUUGUUUGUGCCCCCAAAAUAAGUCACAAUGACAUUGCCUACCUAAAGAUACUGAUAGAGGACUAUAUACAUCUGAGACACAGUAGGUUUCCUGACAAAGCUUUAAAAGCUAAACAUCACUAUUUGUUACAUUAUGCAGAGCUUAUCCUUCACUUUGGACCACUCAUUCGUUUGUGGACCCUUAGGUUUGAGAGCAAGCACUCGUAUUUCAAAGCAUGUACAAGAACAGUGCACAACUUUGUCAACUUAUGCAAGACUCUGACAGAACGCCAUCAGUUACUGCAGUCCUACCUCUCAGUGGGUCAACUGUUUCCACCUACAGUUCAAAUCAUUGGAGAAGCAAGUGAUUAUAAUCAUCAUCUUUACAACGCUGUCAUUCAAGAAGCUGUGGCAAAAGCCGGCUGCACUAAUCAGACCACUUUGGAUGUGUCAGCAGUUGUCUACAAAGGGAUGGAGAUUGAAGAGGAACUCACAAGCCUCCUGCCGGCACUAGACAGAGAGAAAAUAAUCUGCAUUGUAGAACAUCUGAUGGACGUUAUUGGUGUACAACAAAAAAGUGAUCUUUUGUUUGUGGAGGCAGAAGAUCUCAAACCCUUUCUCACAUCAAUUCAAAUACGUAAACUACUUCUUGCAUUUAAAGGAGGUUUGUGUAGCUUCUGUACAAAUCAUAGACUUGAGUCUAUGAUUUGAAGGUCACUCAUAGACUCAUAUGUCACUGAUUAGCUUUUUUUUCUCUUCACCAUACUACACAUGUACUUUGACAGUAUAAUAUUGAAGAGCGUUUUGGGGCUCACAUUGUCUGGUAGAUGAUUAACACGGAAAACAUAAACAAAAGUGGACACUAAAUCUAACACCAUUAACCUUUCAUUGGUAG